rnacentral:rRNA from 1 species
AAUGAACGCUGGCGGCGUGCUUAACACAUGCAAGUCGAACGAGAGGACAGGAGCUUGCUCCUGGGCUCUAGUGGCAGACGGGUGAGUAACGCGUGGGCAACCUACCCUUGAGUGGGGGAUACCUGGCCGAAAGGCCAGUUAAAACCGCAUAAUACUACAGCAACCUUGGGGGCUGUAUUCAAAGCUGGGGAUCUUGGAAACAGGACCUGGUGCUUAAGGAGGGGCUCGCGUAAGAUUAGCUAGUUGGUGGGGUAACGGCCUACCAAGGCAUCGAUCUUUAGCCGGCCUGAGAGGGUGAUCGGCCACACUGGAACUGAGACACGGUCCAG